UUCCGCUGUGAGGCCACAGAAGGCAAGACUCAGGGAUGGACUCCACCAUGGCCUGGUCCCCUCUCCUGCUCAGCCUCCUGGCUCACUGCACAGGCUCCUGGGUCCAGGCUGUGCUGACUCAGCCACCCUCAGUGUCUGGGAACCCAGGACAGACUGUCACCAUCUCCUGCACUGGAAGCAGCACCAACAUCGGGCGUGGUUCCCAUGUCGGCUGGCACCAACAGGUCCCAGGAAAACCCCCUAAAACCGUCAUCCUUAGUACUAGCAGUAGACCCUUGGGGAUCCCUGACCGCUUCUCUGGAUCCAAGUCUGGCAGCAUGGGCACCCUGACCAUCACUGGGCUCCAGGCUGAGGACGAGGCCAACUAUUACUGCCAGUCCUAUGACAGCAGUACCGGAGGUCCCACAAUGCUGCGGGGCUGUGGGGAACCUGCAGAGCUGCGGGAGGAACGGAUGCUGCUGCUGGCACGGCCUGCAGCUCUGGAGCAGCUCCGGAGGCGGACGUUCCUCUGGUUCUGGGGCGGCCCCUACAUGUGCACUGGCUUCUGCCCCUGCACCUGGCACCUGUGGAUGUGUAAGUGCUGA